AUGGUAGACGUCAAGAGACGUGGGGAUCAGAUUAUCCUGGUCAAGCUGGUAGUUGGGGACUUAGUUCUCAAUGUUAUUAGCGCGUAUGCCCCGCAGGUAGGCCACAAUGAGAACACCAAGAGGGAGUUCUGGGAAGGCCUGGAAGACAUGGUUAGGAGUGUACCGAUUGGCGAGAAGCUCUUCAUAGGAGGAGACCUCAAUGGCCACGUGGGUACAUCUAACACAGGUUUUGAAGGGGCGCAUGGGGGCUUUGGCUAUGGCAUCAGGAAUCAAGAAGGAGAAGACGUCUUAAGCUUUGCUCUAGCCUACGACAUGAUUGUAGCUAACACCCUCUUUAGAAAGAGAGAAUCGCAUCUGGUGACUUUUAGUAGUGGCCAACACUCUAGCCAGAUUGAUUUCAUCCUCUCGAGAAGAGAAGAUAGGCGUGCGUGCCUAGACUGUAAGGUGAUACCUGCAAAGAGUGUUGUACCUCAGCAUAAGCUGGUGGUUGCUGACUUCCGCUUUCGGAUUCGUGUCCAGCGGGAUAAGCGUGUCAAAGUCGCUAGAACGAAGUAG
rnacentral:rRNA from 1 species